AGCAGUCGCCGCGGGAAUACAGAGGGUGCGAGCGUUAAUCGGAUUUACUGGGCGUAAAGCGUGCGUAGGCGGCUUUUUAAGUCGGAUGUGAAAUCCCUGAGCUUAACUUAGGAAUUGCAUUCGAUACUGGGAAGCUAGAGUAUGGGAGAGGAUGGUAGAAUUCCAGGUGUAGCGGUGAAAUGCGUAGAGAUCUGGAGGAAUACCGAUGGCGAAGGCAACCAUCUGGCCUAAUACUGACGCUGAGGUACGAAAGCAUGGGGAGCAAACAGGAUUAGAUACCCCUGUAGUCCCUGUCUCUUAUAA
rnacentral:rRNA from 1 species